GCCUACAAAAAAAACAAGGUGAGAGUGUUUUGUCACAGAGCUCAACGUAGACAACCUUCUCUUGUAAAGCUAAAUCCUCCUUCGGGUUCAUUUAAUGGAAUCCAGGUUUAUUACAUGUAGAAUGAAGUCUUUUUCCCCAUCACUCAGGCCCUCCAAACAUAUCUUUCCCAGAAAAAAAAAAAAAAAAAAAGGCAGGAUAAAUUUAAUAAGCUAAUAGCAUAUUAAUUUGGUAUUUUUCUUACAGCCUUAGGAAGUCACAGCAAAGAGUUAGACAAGAUCAGCCCAUUUCAUCUCAGGGUGGUCAGAGCAUCUCACAGGGACAGGAUAUUGGAGUUGGUGUGCGAGUGCCUGAUUCAACAGCAAUAUCCAAGAGCAGAUUCCUACUGGGCUCCUUCAAAACUGAGGCCAUCAGGAAGAAGAUGCAUCAUCUGCCAACAUUCAGACCUCAGCUCUGUACAAGGAGGUGCACUUACUUAAAGUAGAAGCCUGCUGGGGGCAGCUCUGAGGCCGGCUCGUUGGCCACCGACCACAUCACAACUGAGGGCCUGUUCUUAUCCCUGCGGAUCAGCUCCUCCAUCACAGCCAGGUGGUGCUGCAAGGAUUUGUUCCCAAAGCUCUCGCUUAAAGACAAGAGAAGGGCCUGCCGUUGAUGAGGAACUGGGUGCUGGUGACGUGGACGGUGCGGAUGCCGACCGGGAGCGUGUACACGUCCUCCAGCAACGCCCCCUCCACCUGCGCCUGCAUUUUCACCUGGAUUGCCAAGGAGGAAGGGUAGGAGCAAGGUCUGACCAAACAGAAAAUAGAAAUCCAAGCUGGGCAAGUUAAAGGAUGAAGAAUAAACUGCUGGAUGACCCUUCUGGGGCUUGCUCACCCCAAGAGCUGCAGUGUCUUUCCACCAUACUCGUCUGGCCCAUUUCAUCCCCUCCAAGCAAGACAGUAGGACCACUUCUCUGCCCUGCACCAGGCAGCGACUGACAUGUCACAAGAGAUACAGACCUGAGACCCUGGAGACUCACAGCAGCUCAUCUGCCCUGAUUUCUGCAUCAAAACAUCACUACUGAUCCUUAACUCACAGAGAGUCCUCCAAGGCUCCACUAUUAAAGCUGAACUCUUGCAGAGUAAAAGAAAGCUGACUGCAUGGCAAAGCCUGUGGAAGAGGUUGGCAGCCUGCUCCUCAGAGACUCUGCUCUCAACUUGCAGGGCAUCUCCUCCCCUGUAUGGUCUCAAAUGGGAUGGACUGGUCCCUAAAGGUGAAGGACCUCAGAGCACACGUGUGCACUCCAGGCAUGCCCUUCUCACUGCCAGACCUUGCAGUUCAGGACCCAGGGAGCUGCCAAAGUUUGAUUUGAUUACUGCCUAAUUAGCAAUGCUACGCUGGUCACAUGAACAGGAGCUGUGAGAGAAGAGAAGAUGGUCCAUAGGGCAGUUCCUUAACCCAAUUAGACAGAGAGAACACACAGAAAGGAAGAAAUGCCACUUUACCUCUAAGGAGUAAAGGUAUCCAGGGUUCUCGUGCAUCAGGUAAGGC